UCUAAUGUGGCAGAAUAGUGCAAUGAAUUUAAGCUUCAUAUAUAAAGAAUAACUUUUAUUAGAA
rnacentral:tRNA from 1 species